rnacentral:rRNA from 1 species
UACGUAGGGGGCAAGCGUUGUCCGGAAUCAUUGGGCGUAAAGCGCGCGUAGGUGGCCCGGUAAGUCCGCUCUGAAAGUCAAAGGCUCAACCUUUGAAAGCGGGUGGAUACUGUCGGGCUAGAGUCCGGAAGAGGCGAGUGGAAUUCCUGGUGUAGCGGUGGAAUGCGCAGAUAUCAGGAGGAACACCAACGGCGAAGGCAGCUCGCUGGGACGGUACUGACACUAAGGCGCGAAAGCGUGGGGAGCAAACAGG